rnacentral:misc_RNA from 1 species
AAUAGAUAUGGGCAGGGUUUGUGACAGACAUUUUUCAUUUUUAACUUAAUCAGCAGAGCCUGCCAACAUCAGCAACCGAAAGUGCAAACUAUUAUGGCUGCAGUAACUACCAUCAAAUCUUAUUCUACAAAAAUUUGGUUUCUGAUAAUGCAUAUAAGGUACCAUAGAUAGGAUUGAAGCUAUGAACACCAAGGGAGAAGCAAAGGACUAACCUCA